rnacentral:rRNA from 1 species
UACGUAGGUCCCGAGCGUUGUCCGGAUUUAUUGGGCGUAAAGCGAGCGCAGGUGGUUUAAUAAGUCUGAUGUAAAAGGCAGUGGCUCAACCAUUGUGUGCAUUGGAAACUGUUAGACUUGAGUGAAGUAAAGGAGAGUGGAAUUCCAUGUGUAGCGGUGAAAUGCGUAGAUAUAUGGAGGAACACCGGUGGCGAAAGCGGCUCUCUGGACUGUCACUGACACUGAGGCUCGAAAGCGUGGGUAGCAAACAGG